rnacentral:lncRNA from 1 species
AUGGCAACAGACUCGCGCGUCUCCCAAGAGUGCGGUCAGGGGGCAGCCGGCCUGGACGGCGGCUCCUGUGUCCAUGAACACCCAGGAGGAGAGGCAGGCUCCAGCAGAGGAGGAGUGUGCAGCUCAUCUCGACUGGAGCUUUCACUCGGCACAGCAGGGGAGGCUGUGGGCUUCCCUCCAGCACCGACAGAACGCUGGGUGCGAAGCCGCUCGGAUGAGGGAUGGUACAACAUCUCCAGCUGUACUGAUGUUCGAGAAUUCUCCCAGGAAUUCUUUUCGCGAUACAUGUCCAGGCACUGGUCUCCAGGGCUUUGUGGGGCCAUUUGUUCCCUGGUCUUCUGGAAGUCUGAGGGUUGUGCAAUUGGCCCAUGCUCCUGUUGGCUUGUUCUUCCAUCAGUGGCUUCACCCCGUGAGUCAUUCCCAAGACCAUGGAAGAGGAGGGGUGUCACUCUAGGCUCUGAGAUGGCCAUCCUCGCCUCUCUUUCUCUGUCUGGGACAGAGGUCGAUUCCUGUACCCAAGUCCCCCGAGGAUCCCUCGCUCCGUGGUCCUGCACCCCCAGGCUGCCUGCAGGGACCCCGCAGGGCUGGUGGAGGGAGAAGGGACGUUCUCCUCGCUGCCACGUCCUGUUUCUCUGAGCGCCCUGAGCAGCAAGUCUUCCCCCAGCGGGGCUCUCACUUGUCCCCCUACUUCCUGAACGACAGAAACCCCAGUUUUGUUGGCGUCGUGCCCAACCUGGAACAGUAUUUUCCAGCUUGCUUGCAGAUAAGAGUGGCCAUGUCUAAGUCUGACCAAGGAGAUGUAAGAGGAGGUUUCCAGACUGUCUCCUGGCAGGUAGCCUUUGCCCUCUGGCCUUUGUCCUCCCCUCCUUCCUGGAGAGAACAAGGACCACGGCAGUGGCUCGGCCACCUUGUGCUAUGCUAUCACCUGGACAACUACCCCUGGACAACCUCGAGUUAGGUAAGAGAAAAACAAAAUCCAUAACUUGAGCUGUUGCAUUCCAGUCUCUGUUACUAGGAUCUGCAUGGAGCCCCUAAGACACGAGCCAUGGUCCCCCCAGCCUCCCCCCUCAGUCUUCGAGGACCGGCACUCCCCCAUCCAUCCUGUUCUGGAGUGGCUGAACGACUACUUGCUUCGACCACCUGGGCAGCCUGUGAUGUUCUGGGACCUCCGUGCCCAUUCGAGUGAAGUUGUAGGACCCCCUGGGGCCUCUUCUGCACCUUGUGAGUGAGCUGUGGAGCUGCCCGGGGACGGUGCUCAGGCCCCCAGGGUCUCCUGUCUGCACCCCGGCAGCUCAGGCAGGGCAGCGGGACUCAGCUGCAAGUCUGCAGGUAGGCGAGCUGUCUGCUCCCCUCCUGGUAGGCCCUCCUGUCCCUACCAGUGACUUCUUGGAGCAUCCCGUUUCAGGGCACAGGGCUUAGAACCGAGGUUCAAGAGUGUGUGCUGCCUGGACACUUGGUAGAGUCGGGAGAGCCUGCAACAGUGCACCUGCAAGUCCCCCUCGGCACUCUGCUCCACCCGAAGGUCCCCCCAAACAGCCUCUUGUCAGAUGGUCCGGAGGCAGCUCCUGCUCAUCCCUGAGCUGCGGGUUUAGUUUCCUGCCCACCCGCAGAACCGUUCACACGGCCAGUCACACUCUCCCACUGGAACCAGGGCACCCCACCCUCCUUACCGCAACGGCCACUGCCCACAGCCCUGCUGGCUCACGCUGUUCCCGAGGGCACCCCCGUGUGGUCCUGUGCCGUGUGCCGUGUCCUCCUCCCCCAGGCCGAGAGCACACGUGAGUAAUACACUGCUGUCCAUCUGUCCAGCAGGAUCAUCCCCCUAACUCUAGGGUGGCAAUCCCUCCCUCAGCAACGAGUGGAGAAGAGGUGAUUGAAACAGAAUCCCCCCCUCCGCCACGGGCAGGGAAGCCUCUCCCCCCAGCCACUCCCAGUGCAAAGAGGUCGGGGUCAAGGGAACGGGGCAGCCCUGCCCGCUCUCCCAAUGCAGAGGGCUCACUGACAGUUCACCUCAGAGGGUGGUGCCCGCGGCACCUUCCGCUUUUAGUAGUGACAGUAGAAGCCACUCAACAAACAUCUUCCUGAGUGAGGAAAAGCCCGAAGGAGACACCGCUGUGCAGGGCAGGACUGAGACAUGACGGGAGAGCCCCCACAUGUAAGCUGCCCAUCCCCCCUCUUCUUUUGCAGAAAUCUCAAGCACAUCCAACCUCCUGUUGGGAGAGAAAAAAAGAAUGAGGGAAAGUAAGGAGGGGAGAAGUCUGUCGAAGUUUGCCCUCCGCCUCCCAUCCAUCGGCCGCGUCAGACAGCUGACAACCUGGCUGCUCCCAAGCUUCAGAGCCAUCUCUCUGCUGUGAAAGGCUGGUCGCAGACCUGGUCUGGAGUUUUCACCCUUCAAGCCAUUAUCUGCUGUGUCAGCAGAGCCGUCGGUUGCAUUCAUAUUCACCACUUUGUUCCCAAGUCUAAUCUGGAAGAUACAAAACACAGAAGUGCCAGGAAUCCGCAAUUAGGCUCGCUGUGCAGCCAUCCUCCCGUGACACAGCUGUUGAUGGAAGCGAAGACCAUCCACGCGGAAACACCAUUGUCCAUUGUCAGUGCCCGUCAGUGCCUCUUUGCGUACUUGUCCCUCUGUGACCACACAGCUGGCCUCUUCCCACCCCUCUAAUGCCCACAGUGAAUCCAGAUCCAAACAAGCAACUUCCUCAGAACAACAGUGAGCCAACCCAACAUGAUGAGCAGGUAACCGGUACCCACGGAGCAUCUCGUCAGGAGGAGGAAAGAGGGCUCGUCUUGUGCACCACACAGCAAAGGCCGUGCUCUCCCCCACCCUCCCUGCCCUCUCUCGGCUCCUCACCGCACUCCUCUUCACCCUCGCAGAUUCUAGGAUCGCCUCUACCGUCCAGAGCUGUUUAGUCCCACGAUGACACAGGCAUGUGCUUAACUUGCCGUCUAAGAUCACGGGCAGCCCGGCCAUCUACCUGGUCCCUGGAGAUGCUCCUGUCUCCCAGGCAGCUCUCUGAUGUAUCCACAUGACGAUAGGAAGAGGGACAGGAAGGUGGGGGGGUGUACCGUGAGCAGCCGUCAGACCUGAUCUGCUCCACGACACAUGCAUGGGCACUGCCCCCCGCCUUCAGUCCCCGUAUUGUCCUGCAGGCCCCACUUGCUGCAUCUUUCCCACACACAAGAAAAUAGGCCAAAAAGGGUUUUGGAUAGUUAUCUUAUUUUAUUCCCUUUUUGUUUGUGUCUCUCUGCUGCCCUUGCCCCUCAGCUGUCCCCUAUCUCAAUCUGACGCACACAGUUUCCGUCUGUCCUCAUUUCUUCUCUUCCUUCGGAAAACAUCCAAGAUAAGGUCCCCUGUGACUUGUCUGGCAAUUUUGUCCUCGGCCAACCCAGCUUCAGCCCACGGGCUGCAGAGUCUUUUCUCCCCGGCAAACGAGAGCUCCUAAGAUCUCACCGCAGCACCUGGGAGGUGCUGCGUCACUACACGUUGGGACAAAGCAGAUGCCGAAAUAAAGGGAGUCCCGGGCUCCGUGCA